UGAGUUAAAGAUGAUGUGUAUUUGAUACCUUUCACUAUGACUGAAUUGGCAUUAAUCAAGUUAAAGCAGGGAGAUGGUGUAACUGCUAAAGAACUCUUGGAACCAGCUCGUAUAGAUCAGAAAUAUCAAGCAUUGUUAACAAGGAAUUAUUUAACAUGAAUAGGUAUUGAAAGAGG